GGGUUGUGAGGUUAAGCGACUAAGCGUACACGGUGGAUGCCCUGGCAGUCAGAGGCGAUGAAGGACGUGCUAAUCUGCGAUAAGCGUCGGUGAGGUGAUAUGAACCGUUAUAACCGGCGAUUUCCGAAUGGGGAAACCCAGUGUGUUUCGACACACUAUCAUUAACUGAAUCCAUAGGUUAAUGAGGCGAACCGGGGGAACUGAAACAUCUAAGUACCCCGAGGAAAAGAAAUCAACCGAGAUUCCCCCAGUAGCGGCGAGCGAACGGGGAGGAGCCCAGAGCCUGAAUCAGUGUGUGUGUUAGUGGAAGCGUCUGGAAAGGCGUGCGAUACAGGGUGACAGCCCCGUACACAAAAAUGCACAUAUUGUGAGCUCGAUGAGUAGGGCGGGACACGUGGUAUCCUGUCUGAAUAUGGGGGGACCAUCCUCCAAGGCUAAAUACUCCUGACUGACCGAUAGUGAACCAGUACCGUGAGGGAAAGGCGAAAAGAACCCCGGCGAGGGGAGUGAAAAAGAACCUGAAACCGUGUACGUACAAGCAGUGGGAGCCUCUUAAUGGGGUGACUGCGUACCUUUUGUAUAAUGGGUCAGCGACUUAUAUUCUGUAGCAAGGUUAACCGAAUAGGGGAGCCGAAGGGAAACCGAGUCUUAACUGGGCGUUAAGUUGCAGGGUAUAGACCCGAAACCCGGUGAUCUAGCCAUGGGCAGGUUGAAGGUUGGGUAACACUAACUGGAGGACCGAACCGACUAAUGUUGAAAAAUUAGCGGAUGACUUGUGGCUGGGGGUGAAAGGCCAAUCAAACCGGGAGAUAGCUGGUUCUCCCCGAAAGCUAUUUAGGUAGCGCCUCGUGAAUUCAUCUCCGGGGGUAGAGCACUGUUUCGGCAAGGGGGUCAUCCCGACUUACCAACCCGAUGCAAACUGCGAAUACCGGAGAAUGUUAUCACGGGAGACACACGGCGGGUGCUAACGUCCGUCGUGAAGAGGGAAACAACCCAGACCGCCAGCUAAGGUCCCAAAGUCAUGGUUAAGUGGGAAACGAUGUGGGAAGGCCCAGACAGCCAGGAUGUUGGCUUAGAAGCAGCCAUCAUUUAAAGAAAGCGUAAUAGCUCACUGGUCGAGUCGGCCUGCGCGGAAGAUGUAACGGGGCUAAACCAUGCACCGAAGCUGCGGCAGCGACACUAUGUGUUGUUGGGUAGGGGAGCGUUCUGUAAGCC
rnacentral:rRNA from 1 species